GACGAACGCUAGCGGCGUGCCUAAUACAUGCAAGUAGAACGCUGAAGAGAGGAGCUUGCUCUUCUUGGAUGAGUUGCGAACGGGUGAGUAACGCGUAGGUAACCUGCCUUGUAGCGGGGGAUAACUAUUGGAAACGAUAGCUAAUACCGCAUAACAAUGGAUGACACAUGUCAUUUAUUUGAAAGGGGCAAUUGUUCCACUACAAGAUGGACCUGCGUUGUAUUAGCUAGUAGGUGAGGUAAUGGCUCACCUAGGCGACGAUACAUAGCCGACCUGAGAGGGUGGUCGGCCACACUGGGACUGAGACACGGCCCAGACUCCUACGGGAGGCAGCAGUAGGGAAUCUUCGGCAAUGGGGGCAACCCUGACCGAGCAACGCCGCGUGAGUGAAGAAGGUUGUCGGAUCGUAAAGCUCUGUUGUAAGUCAAGAACGGGUGUGAGAGUGGAAAGUUCACACUGUGACGGUAGCUUACCAGAAAGGGACGGCUAACUACGUG
rnacentral:rRNA from 1 species